GCAGACUCCAAGGGUUUUAUAGCGUCCGGUAGCGACACGGAGCCGGCUCCCCCUUUUCCAGCCUUCCUCCCCAUCUCCCAUUCUCCAUCCCCCACGACCUAUACCAGAGGUCCUUAGGCCUCCACGUCUCUCCUUUUGCCGAGUAGCCCAAGGUUUCCACCCAUCUGCCAGGGGGAUGGCGUCCACUCCGAUGGGGAAUGAGGGGGAGAAGAAGAGCAGCUGGCCAUCUCAAGCUGCACCCUCCUUGAGAGGAGGUCCGGCUUCGUUAUCUCGUUCUGAGGAAUACCUGUCCCAGAUCAGUGCAGAACUCAUGGAGGAGGCUUUGUGCACUGCUUGCUGCCACUUGAACCCUGUGCCCAUCAAAAAAAAGCAGUCACAAGACCAAGCGACUCAGAUAUCCAAACGCGCAUUCUUCACCAAGACCUGAGGCACAGACACCUGGUGAGUGAGGCUUCAAGGGAGAUGCUCUUUGUCCUGGGAGAGAGCCCUCUCCCCUCUCUUCCACCAUCUCCUGCUCGGACAGAAACCGUACCUGCAGCAAGGCAUACCUCCUGCCAACUCCUGGUGAAAAGAACAUGCCUCAAAACUACUCUUUUGCCACUCGUUAACCACUUCCGUUUGUGGGGACCUCCUGGUCAUGAGCAGCAUCAUCCCGAAGCCUUCAAAGUGUUCUGGAUUCAUCACAGGACCCUCCAGCCUCAGCCAGCAAGGAUACCACCAGGAAUGAAAGUGCUUUAAUAAAGAGACAGGGUGUGCAUUGCUAAAAAAAAAAAAAAAAAAAA
rnacentral:lncRNA from 1 species